ACGCACGCUGGCGGCGUGCUUCACCCCUGCCAGUCGCACGGAAAGGCCCUGCUUUUGUGGGGUGCUCGAGUGGCGAACGGGUGAGUAACACGUGAGUAACCUGCCCUUGACUUUGGGAUAACUUCAGGAAACUGGGGCUAAUACCGGAUAGGAGCUCCUGCUGCAUGGUGGGGGUUGGAAAGUUUCGGCGGUUGGGGAUGGACUCGCGGCUUAUCAGCUUGUUGGUGGGGUAGUGGCUUACCAAGGCUUUGACGGGUAGCCGGCCUGAGAGGGUGACCGGCCACAUUGGGACUGAGAUACGGCCCAGACUCCUACGGGAGGCAGCAGUGGGGAAUAUUGCACAAUGGGCGGAAGCCUGAUGCAGCAACGCCGCGUGCGGGAUGACGGCCUUCGGGUUGUAAACCGCUUUCGCCUGUGACGAAGCGUGAGUGACGGUAAUGGGGAAAGAAGCACCGGCUAACUACGU
rnacentral:rRNA from 1 species